rnacentral:rRNA from 1 species
UACGGAGGGUGCUAGCGUUGUUCGGAAUUAUUGGGCGUAAAGGGCGCGUAGGCGGCCCCUCAUGUCCGAUGUGAAAGCCCACCUCUUAAAGGUGGAAUUGCAUCGGAAACUGUGGGGCUAGAGUGCCGGAGAGGGUGGUGGAAUUCCUGGUGUAGAGGUGAAAUUCGUAGAUAUCAGGAGGAACACCGGUGGCGAAGGCGGGUCUCGGGGCCGAUACUGACGCUGAGGAGCGAAAGCGUGGGGAGCGAACAGG